ACAGGGGGAUAACAGUUAGAAAUGACUGCUAAUACCGCAUAAGCGCACGGUACCGCAUGGUGCAGUGUGAAAAACUCCGGUGGUGUGAGAUGGAUCCGCGUCUGAUUAGGUAGUUGGUGAGGUAACGGCCCACCAAGCCGACGAUCAGUAGCCGACCUGAGAGGGUGACCGGCCACAUUGGGACUGAGACACGGCCCAAACUCCUACGGGAGGCAGCAGUGGGGAAUAUUGCACAAUGGGCGAAAGCCUGAUGCAGCAACGCCGCGUGAGUGAAGAAGUAUCUCGGUAUGUAAAGCUCUAUCAGCAGGGAAGAAAAUGACGGUACCUGACUAAGAAGCCCCGGCUAACUACGUGCCAGCAGCCGCGGUAAUACGUAGGGGGCAAGCGUUAUCCGGAUUUACUGGGUGUAAAGGGAGCGCAGACGGCACUGCAAGUCUGAAGUGAAAGCCCGGGGCUCAACCCCGGGACUGCUUUGGAAACUGUAGAGCUAGAGUGCUGGAGAGGCAAGCGGAAUUCCUAGUGUAGCGGUGAAAUGCGUAGAUAUUAGGAAGAACACCAGUGGCGAAGGCGGCUUGCUGGACAGUAACUGACGUUCAGGCUCGAAAGCGUGGGGAGCAAACAGGAUUAGAUACCCUGGUAGUCCACGCCGUAAACGA
rnacentral:rRNA from 1 species